rnacentral:rRNA from 1 species
GCUUACGGCCAUACCACCCUGAACACGCCGAUCUCGUCAGAUCUCGGAAGCUAAGCAGGGUCGGGCCUGGUUAGUACUUGGAUGGGAGACCGCCUGGGAAUACCAGGUGCUGUAAGCU